rnacentral:rRNA from 1 species
CGUGUAGGCGGUGUGGUAAGUCGGAUGUGAAAUCUCUAGGCUCAGCCUGGAAACUGCAUUCGAAACUGCCAUGCUUGAGUACCGGAGAGGGAAACGGAAUUCCUGGUGUAGGGGUGAAAUCUGUAGAUAUCAGGAAGAACACCGGUGGCGAAGGCGGUUUCCUGGCCGGAUACUGACGCUGAGGCGCGAAAGCUAGGGGAGCAAACA